AACAAACGCUGGCGGCGUGCAUAACACAUGCAAGUCUAACGGGAAAGCGGGCUUCGGCCUGCAAGUACCGUGGCGAACGGGUGAGUAACGCUUGGGAAUCUGCCUGUUAGUGGGGGACAACCCGGGGAAACUCGGGCUAAUACCGCAUACGUCCUACGGGAGAAAGCAGGGGAUCUUUAUGACCUUGCGCUACUAGAUGAACCUAAGUCGGAUUAGCUAGUUGGUGGGGGAAAGGCCUACCAAGGCGACGAUCUGUAGCGGGUCUGAGAGGAUGAUCCGCCACACUGGGACUGAGACACGGCCCAGACUCCUACGGGAGGCAGCAGUGGGGAAUAUUGGACAAUGGGGGGAACUCUGAUCCAGCCAUGCCGCGUGUGUGAAGAAGGCCUUAUGGUUGUAAAGCACUUUAAGCGAGGAGGAGGCUCUUUUGGUUAAUACCCAAGAUGAGUGGACGUUACUCGCAGAAUAAGCACCGGCUAACUCUGUGCCAGCCGCCGCCGUAAAAC
rnacentral:rRNA from 1 species